UACAGAGGGUUCGAGCGUUAUUCGGAUUUACUGGGCGUAAAGCGCGCGUAGGCGGCUUUGCAAGCCGGAUGUGAAAUCUCCGGGCUUAACCUGGGAACUGCAUUCGGGACUGCAGUGCUAGAGUAUGGGAGAGGGGAGUGGAAUUUCAGGUGUAGCGGUGAAAUGCGUAGAUAUCUGAAGGAAGACCAGUGGCGAAAGCGACUUCCUGGACCAAUACUGACGCUCAUGUGCGAAAGUGUGGGGAGCAAACAGG
rnacentral:rRNA from 1 species